rnacentral:rRNA from 1 species
UACAGAGGGGGCAAGCGUUAUUCGGAAUUACUGGGCGUAAAGCGGGCGCAGCCGGUUACUUAAGCAGGAUGUGAAAUCCCCGGGCUCAACCUGGGAACUGCGUUCUGAACUGGGUGACUAGAGUGUGUCAGAGGGAGGUAGAAUUCCACGUGUAGCAGUGAAAUGCGUAGAGAUGUGGAGGAAUACCGAUGGCGAAGGCAGCCUCCUGGGAUAACACUGACGUUCAUGCCCGAAAGCGUGGGUAGCAAACAGG